rnacentral:rRNA from 1 species
ACCGCAUGGUUCAGACAUAAAAGGUGGCUUCGGCUACCACUUACAGAUGGACCCGCGGCGCAUUAGCUAGUUGGUGAGGUAACGGCUCACCAAGGCGACGAUGCGUAGCCGACCUGAGAGGGUGAUCGGCCACACUGGGACUGAGACACGGCCCAGACUCCUACGGGAGGCAGCAGUAGGGAAUCUUCCGCAAUGGACGAAAGUCUGACGGAGCAACGCCGCGUGAGUGAUGAAGGUUUUCGGAUCGUAAAGCUCUGUUGUUAGGGAAGAACAAGUGCCGUUCAAAUAGGGCGGCACCUUGACGGUACCUAACCAGAAAGCCACGGCUAACUACGUGCCAGCAGCCGCGGUAAUACGUAGGUGGCAAGCGUUGUCCGGAAUUAUUGGGCGUAAAGGGCUCGCAGGCGGUUUCUUAAGUCUGAUGUGAAAGCCCCCGGCUCAACCGGGGAGGGUCAUUGGAAACUGGGGAACUUGAGUGCAGAAGAGGAGAGUGGAAUUCCACGUGUAGCGGUGAAAUGCGUAGAGAUGUGGAGGAAC